rnacentral:rRNA from 1 species
AUUGAACGCUGGCGGCAGGCCUAACACAUGCAAGUCGAACGGUAACAGGGAUCAGCUUGCUGAUUCGCUGACGAGUGGCGGACGGGUGAGUAAUGUCUGGGAAACUGCCUGAUGGAGGGGGAUAACUACUGGAAACGGUAGCUAAUACCGCAUAACGUCGCAAGACCAAAGAGGGGGACCUUCGGGCCUCUUGCCAUCGGAUGUGCCCAGAUGGGAUUAGCUAGUAGGUGGGGUAACGGCUCACCUAGGCGACGAUCCCUAGCUGGUCUGAGAGGAUGACCAGCGACACGGGAACUGAGACACGGUCCAGACGCCUACGGGAGGCAGCAGUGGGGAAUAUUGCGCAAUGGGCGCAAGCCUGAUGCAGCCAUGCCGCGUGUAUGAAGAAGGCCUUCGGGUUGUAAAGUACUUUCAGCGGGGAGGAAGGGAGUAAAGUUAAUACCUUUGCUCAUUGACGUUACCCGCAGAAGAAGCACCGGCUAACUCCGUG